rnacentral:rRNA from 1 species
GAUUUCUGGUAUGGUGCGCCUAGCCCACCGGCGCAAGUCGAGUGAGUGCUGGUGUGCGCCUGCCAUCCUUCUAGAAAACGGCUCUGCCCUUCAUUGGGUUGGAGUUCGCGAUCUAGAUCUUUUACUUUGAAAAAAUUAGAGUGUUUAAAGCAGGCUUGUGCCAUGAAUACAUUAGCAUGGAGUAAUGAUUUAGGACUUUGUUUCUAUUUUGUUGGUUUCUAGGAAUGAAGUAAUGAUUGAUAGGGAUAGUUGGGGGUGCUAGUAUUCAGCGGCCAGAGGUGAAAUUCUUGGAUUCGCUGAAGACUAACUUAUGCGAAAGCAUU